UGGACCUACGGGGGGCAGCAGUGGGGGAUAUUGCACAAUGGGGGGAACCCUGAUGCAGCGACGCCGCGUGGGCGAUGGAGCGCCUCGGCGCGUAAAGCCCUAUCAGCAGGGAAGAGGAAGGACGGUACCUGCAGAGGAAGCCACGGCUAACUACGUGCCAGCAGCCGCGGUAAUACGUAGGUGGCAAGCGUUGUUCGGAAUAACUGGGCGUAAAGGAUGCGUAGGCGGUUAAACAAGGUA
rnacentral:rRNA from 1 species